UACGGAGGGGGCUAGCGUUGUUCGGAAUUACUGGGCGUAAAGCGCACGUAGGCGGCUUUGUAAGUUAGAGGUGAAAGCCCAGGGCUUAACCCUGGAAUUGCCUUUAAGACUGCAUCGCUUGAAUCAUGGAGAGGUGAGUGGAAUUCCGAGUGUAGAGGUGAAAUUCGUAGAUAUUCGGAAGAACACCAGUGGCGAAGGCGACUCACUGGACAUGUAUUGACGCUGAGGUGCGAAAGCGUGGGGAGCAAACAGGAUUAGAUACCCCAGUAGUCC
rnacentral:rRNA from 1 species